rnacentral:rRNA from 1 species
UAGGGAAUCUUCGGCAAUGGACGAAAGUCUGACCGAGCAACGCCGCGUGCGUGAAGAAGGUUUUCGGAUCGUAAAACUCUGUUGUUAGAGAAGAACAAGGACGUUAGUAACUGAACGUCCCCUGACGGUAUCUAACCAGAAAGCCACGGCCAACUACGUGCCAGCAGCCGCGGUAAUACGUAGGUGGCAAGCGUUGUCCGGAUUUAUUGGGCGUAAAGCGAGCGCAGGCGGUUUCUUAAGUCUGAUGUGAAAGCCCCCGGCUCAACCGGGGAGGGUCAUUGGAAACUGGGAGACUUGAGUGCAGAAGAGGAGAGUGGAAUUCCAUGUGUAGCGGUGAAAUGCGUAGAUAUAUGGAGGAACACCAGUGGCGAAGGCGGCUCUCUGGUCUGUAACUGACGCUGAGGCUCGAAAGCGUGGGGAGCAAACAGG